AGUGAACGCUGGCGGUAGGCCUAACACAUGCAAGUCGAACGGCAGCACAGGAGAGCUUGCUCUCUGGGUGGCGAGUGGCGGACGGGGGAGGAAUACAUCGGAAUCUACUUUUUCGUGAGGGAUAACGUAGGGAAACUUACGCUAAUACCGCAUACGACCUACGGGUGAAAGCAGGGGAUCUUCGGACCUUGCGCGAUUGAAUGAGUCGAUGUCGGAUUAGCUAGUUGGCGGGGUAAAGGCCCACCAAGGCGACGAUCCGUAGCUGGUCUGAGAGGAUGAUCAGCCACACUGGAACUGAGACACGGUCCAGACUCCUACGGGAGGCAGCAGUGGGGAAUAUUGGACAAUGGGCGCAAGCCUGAUCCAGCCAUACCGCGUGGGUGAAGAAGGCCUUCGGGUUGUAAAGCCCUUUUGUUGGGAAAGAAAUCCAGCUGGCUAAUACCCGGUUGGGAUGACGGUACCCAAAGAAUAAGCACCGGCUAACUUCGUGCCAGCCGCCGCCGUAA
rnacentral:rRNA from 1 species